rnacentral:rRNA from 1 species
GACGAACGCUGGCGGCGUGCUUAACACAUGCAAGUCGAACGGAAAGGCCCUGCUUUUGUGGGGUGCUCGAGUGGCGAACGGGUGAGUAACACGCGAGUAACCUGCCCUUGACUUUGGGAUAACUUCAGGAAACUGGGGCUAAUACCGCAUAGGAGCUCCUGCUGCAUGGUGGGGGUUGGAAAGUUUCGGCGGUUGGGGAUGGACUCGCGGCUUAUCAGCUUGUUGGUGGGGUAGUGGCUUACCAAGGCUUCGACGGGUAGGCGGCCUGAGAGGGUGACCGGCCACAUUGGGACUGCGAUACGGCCCAGACUCCUACGGUAGGCAGCAGUGGGGAGUAUUGCACAAUGGGCCGAAGCCUGAUGCAGCAACGCCGCGUGCGGGAUGACGGCCUUCGGGUUGUAAACCGCUUUCGCCUGUAACGAAGCGUGAGUGACGGUAAUGGGUAAAGAAGCACCGGCUAACUACGUG